rnacentral:rRNA from 1 species
CGGCGGACGGGUGAGGAAUACAUCGGAAUCUACUCUGUCGUGGGGGAUAACGUAGGGAAACUUACGCUAAUACCGCAUACGACCUACGGGUGAAAGCAGGGACCUUCGGGCCUUGCGCGAUUGAAUGAGCCGAUGUCGGAUUAGCUAGUUGGCGGGGUAAAGGCCCACCAAGGCGACGAUCCGUAGCUGGUCUGAGAGGAUGAUCAGCCACACUGGAACUGAGACACGGUCCAGACUCCUACGGGAGGCAGCAGA